UCAUCCCGGUGGCUUCACUUCAGACUGCAAACUGCCCCAAUGCGAGCUGAAGGUCACGGUCUGAUGGUCAUGUCUGCACGGCAGAUAUGAAGCUUUACAGCCAGAGGCCGCUUAGCUUAGCUUAGCAUAAAGACUGGAAACAGGGGUAAACAGCCAGCCUGCCUCUGUCCAAGGUAACAAAAUCCACCUACCUCACUGAUUAACACUUUUCUUUAAAACGGAAUAACCCCCUGCUGGCUGUAGCCAUAUUUAGUGUACAGAUAUGAGAGUGGUAAUGAUCUUCUCAUCUAACUCUCCACAAGACAGUGACAAUUAUUCAAACUACUGGUUGAACACACAGACAUUAGAUAGAUAUCCAUCUUCUCAUCUCACUCUCAGAAAGACAAUAAAAGUCCAUCAAAUCCUUUAUUUCAUGUGCAAUAUUUGCAUUCAACUAUUUAUUGAAACUUCCUUAUUCCCUCACUUAAUUUGUGUCUCAAAACAGUUUCAUACUGUUUUUAUAUGGUUUAUUUAGUAUCUGUAUUUAUUCUUAUUCUUCAUGCUCCAUUAUAGUAGAUGAUCGUUUACGCACAUAAACAAACUGCUGUAAAGGAAAAACACACUGGUUGCAAAAUAUUUUAUUUAGUGUGAAAUAAAGUCAUCAAAAAUACAAAAUAUUACAUAAACACUUCUCAAAUUACAAAUUAUGAAUCAUCCAGCACAUGCAGUCAUUAAGUGCUUACAAGAGGAAAUCUAGAGAGAAUUAUCUGGAAAAGGAGGAGAGAGAGCGAAAGCGGUAAGAGGAAGGGUAAAAAGUGUGGAUUUGUGUCAGUAGUUAAAGUUUAGCGUGGUUGGUUUCAGAGCAGACAUGUUUGCUCCACUCACAGUCUGAAGUGUACGGAGUAUAAAUAGGACGAUAAAUUAAACAGAAAAACUAAACAUUGGUCAAAAUGUGAAGUUUCUAACAAAGACUGUUUGUGGAAAGCAGCAAUUAGAGGCAACAAUGGAGACUCAAGUUCCACUUAAAUACACAAACAAAAGCAUCUCAUUUAUAUAACCUGUCUGUCCGCAUCAUCUCACACACAAAGACAGAUACACACAUGUGAACAUGCAGGUUUGCAGGUUUUUUAUUAGAAAAUAAUUGACUUUUUCAUAUAAUCAGCCAAUGAGUUUGUUUAUGAGAGCCGAAAGUCAGAAUUUGAUGAUCCUAACGUGAUUAGUCAGUUAUGAAAAGCUCUAUUAAUCUUCUGCCAAGUGACUGAAAAAUUGAGUAAUUGUGUGUCAUUCACACAAAUUGAGGAACAUGCAAACAGGCCCACUUUUGUAAAAAGAAAGAAUUCCCCAUCACCAUCAUUUUGACUUAACCCUAAGUCUACCCUCAACCCUAAAACCAAGUUCUAACCCUCAAACAUCUGUUUGAAGAAGUGAGGACCGGACAGAAACUUUUCUCAUUAUGUAAAACUGUGUUUACUCUCCAAAAAUGUCUUCAGUUUCAAAAUGUCCUCACUUUACAAUAAUGUCUAGUUGGUCCUCACAAAGCUAGAAGUACACCAUCACACAUGAUGACAUCAGCACAGUUUACAUUAACAGACUUACCACAUAACUCAGUCUCAGGGCUCAUAUAACACAGAUUUCAACACACACUCAGAUCCAGCGGUCAGCCAGCCAAGAAAGAUGCAUCACACACACAUUGACACAUGUUCUACACACACACUCGAAGUAGCUCAGGUCGCUGUAUUGAGUAUCGAUAGUUUGUCGCACUGAUCAACACAAAACAUCGAGUCUUACUAGCAUCCCAUAGACGUUGCAAAGUUUAUUACACACUAGUCUGAAAGUGUUGGACAGAACAAACAACAUCAAGAUGAUUUUAUCUAUUCUUAGAGUCUCUUCAAAACCUCUUCUUUCCAGUACCCAGCACAGUCGCCACGGCCCAGCUCGAGUUGUCUUGGCUAGAGGUCAGGAUUUCUAGAUUUGAAAAUCUGGUUCUUCCCUGACCUCAAGUUUUGCGACAUUUUUCAAAAACCAAGUUGGUGUGGAGUUACAAGGAUUACAUUAUCAAGGUCCACCAGAAGGACAAGCCCCCAUCACAGGACCGGAGGUGCUGCCAUAACGGGGAUGUUUGCACCGAUCAAGCGGUGCUGCCGGUCAUACUCGUGUAACUUGGAAAGGUGUUGUGAGGCAUGCCGUGGAUGGCUACGCUUCUCGACAAAGAUGGAGCGAUGAGACUCUGUUACGACAGAUUGUCCAGCACACAUCUUGAUGCUUGUUUUUCGUACUGCUGGUCACGCAGACCAGGAGCCAGUUAACAACAAGAAGGCCUGUGCAGCCUCGCUGACUACCAAGGCCACGGGCAAGGCGCAACGUAUACGCGAGAGUGCAUCGAUCGCCACAAAAAACAUGCAGUGGCCUCAACAAUGUCCCUCUUCCCCCAUCUUUGCCACUGAGAGCAAAACAGACAUUUUAUUCAUACGACCACGAAGGUCGAUUGUCAGGAAAAUGUAAACUGAGGUCUGUAAGUGUUUAAACAAAUGAGCAAUGCUGUUGUUUCUCUGGUGAAGACAGUCUCCUGUUUCAGACAGUUUACACUGACGCUGUUUAAAGAGCUAUUAAAAUACAUUUCUCUCGUUGGGGGGUGGUCCGCAGCUGAUCCCGUCUCCCAGCGCUCUGCCUUCUCCUCCAAAGCCUCAGAGAGCAGCUCAGCUAGCUUGUUUCCUUUUUAUCUACAAGUGAAACUGUUUAAGAAGGUAUGUGCGUCCACCCAGAGGGCUGAGCCUGGGUGAUUAGGAGUAUUAGGAGCUUAAAGCAGAUGUUUGGGCACACAGUACCCACCUGCAGUCAGCUCAGGUCACGUCUAUAUUAGAUCUCCAGACAUCUCUUCCUCUUCUCCUCGGCUGCAGUUUUCUUUUGCUUGUUCUGUUCUGCUCUUUUUCAGAAUAUUUAUAGCGUGUUGUGACCUCGGGCCUUGUCAGCGUUGGUCGACCGGUGUCAGUCUCUCAGAAUCGAAGAGGAAAGGGCUUCUUUUUGUACCAACGUUCAACAAUCACAAAAGUAGAUAUUCAUGGUAGAAAAUAAGACUUUCAACGCCAAGGGAGCAGGAAAUGGUCCAGAAUGCAAUGCAGCAAUAACAGGUGGAAUUUGAGUAAACAGUGACUGCUCGACAUGCUUCUGUCCACCAUCAGGCUUGACGUUUUCUGCAGCAUAUUGUUUUUCUUCUUCAGGUCCUUGUAGCUGGUUAAAGUCCUAAUGUCGAGAAGCAGUUGAAGACAGUUGAGUGGAGUGGAAAACAACUCUGUCUGUCUGUUACACCAGGAAAUCAAAACCAGCUGCUUGGUUGUUGCCUCGAACCUUUCUCGAGUUCUCCACGUCCCACCACCGGGCAACUUCUGAGUCCUGAGUCACGGUGGGCGGAGCCAGCAUGUUUUUCGAGGUUCAUUAACAACGAAUGGUAUCCAGUGCUCUCUCCAUCAUCUGCAGAGAUGUGUGAAUAAGAGUUAACGGAAGAAAGGAUCAAAUGAAGAGAGAGCAGGGGAAAGAAAGGAGGUGAGCCCGAGAUGGAGAGCUAACGAGGCAAAGAAGAGAGAAAAAGAUGGAGAGAAGACAGACAGACAGACAGAAGAAAAAGCAAGGGCACAAUAGAAAAGACAAAAAGCAAAACAACGAAAGAAAAUAGAAUAAAGUCAGUAAGAAAAGCCUUUUUCACACACUGCUGGCUUCACUUUUACAUUAACGGCUUCGUUCAGACACGUCUGUUUCUAUUCCACUUUGUGCACACGAGACAAUAAUACUGUAACAUACAAUAAUACAUUUAUUACAGCGAUCUCCGAAGGCGGUGACUCCUCUCCCUCAUGCACAGCCUUUACGUUACAACGUUCAGUUCAGACUUCAGUCGUGCUGAAAGCGACGCGGGAAGGUUUCAGGUCCGACCUGAGAGCCGGCCGCUCUGACUCGUGCUUAUUCAGACGUGAGGCCGACACGUUAAAUUACAGUCGGAUUGACGUAACGGGGGGCGGGUCUGACAGGAGCUAUAGAAAGCAGGAGAAAUGCAAGUAAACAAAGAAAGAAAAAGAGGGAAGAGAAGACGAGAGGGAGGGAGAGAAAAGGUCAGUGGACGGAUAAAUGAGCAGAAGCAGCGCAGACAGCGGAUGUGAGGGAGCUGACAGGUGAAGGCGGCCGAUCGAUGCCAGCCGGGAUCACGGAGGCAGGUUGACCAUACCUGCGGUGAGUCAUCGCUCUGUGUGUGCGACGAAGCGAAGAGAAGAAGAAGAAGCGGUGGUGGGGAGGGAAACCUGUCGUGUGUCACUGCUUUACAACGUUUUACUUUUUUCCCCCUCCCGUUUGAGUUCUCUGCGUUUCUCCAGGGAGAUGGUAUUUCAGCUGCAGCUCAGAAAACGAAUAAAGUUUUUCAUCGUUAAAGUUUGUACCUCUAUGAUUCAUUUACAAAUAUUAAGCCCUGUGCAACUUCAUACAGAUGUAAGCCCCAUUCAGACGGGAUUAAUGUUCCGCCUUGGUGGGGAGGCUAUUACUAAAAUAUUCACCGGUAAUUAUUUAUACAGACAGUUGCAAACUGCUUAAAUGGCCUUCUGAAAGCCUAUACUGUUACAGUAAGAUCUGGCGUCUGUGAAGGGACUGUUAAAGCUGGACACAGACAUGUUAAAGGCCCCCCUUUACAUAAGAGCAAGACACCCAGACUGAAAGAGACACAAAACAUAUAUGACUACAAAUCUCUCAGUAGUCAUUUAGCAUCUUUUCUGCGGACGCUUUGUGUCUCUUUCUAUGAGAAGGGCAGGAGAGAAAGAAAUAAGUUGGAAGUUGGAAAAUGGACGGCAGUGAUUGUUGGUCAAAUCUGCUCAUAAUGCUCUUUAACAGUACACUAGCUGGAUGUUGGGCUCAAACCUGUGACCUUUUCCCUCUGAGGGGCUUUUACUGCUUCAUUUUCAGUGAGAGAAAGAAGCAGAUUUUGUGUUCUCACACAGUCUGAGUGCCCAGCUGUGAAACCACAUCAUUCUCCUCAUGGUUUCCUAACUACAGUUUGUCUUUCCCUUCUCCACCCUCUCUCUUUCUCACAUAAUUUCCUCUGUUCCUUGUCAUGUUUGGACAGAUCGCAUACGGCGGUUUGGCCUAAAUAUACGCUGUGGUCAGGAGGUUUCUCAACACUUCUCCCUCUUCACCAACAAGUGCUGUUUCUGAGAACUGCGUCAGUGCUGAGAGGAUGAUCGCGCUCGUGCACACGAUAUUGAAAAUGAUGAUUAUGAUGAUGAAUGCAGUGCCACAGGAAAGGCUCAGUACAAAUAUCAGUUAGUGUGUACAAACCAUCCUGCAGAGUCAUGGUGGGUGUGGAGCUCUCUGAUGGUCUGGCCAAACCACCGAGGUGGGCGUUCAGACUGUGACAGGACCGAGGCUGCACUGGGAAAACCAGGACCUUUGACUCCACCACUGCUGUCAUACAAACUGAGUUCAUGAGCAGCAGAGAAGGAGCCUGGUCUCACUGAAUUGUACUGAAAUGAGUCGAAAGAUGAUGGAAAGAACAAGUGUGAAAAGUGAGUCAGAGGUGUUUGGAUAUGGAUCCAGAUGAAAUAAGGCUGAUGGGGACAAUGGUUCGGAUGGUCUGAAGCUCAAAUUAUAGUUUCCAUGUCUGCAAAGCUGCGAGGGGCUACGGGACAUUCAUUUCUGUCUAUCAUCUGUGGACAGACACCCAGUGUAGUAUAAGCAGGACGAUCGGUCAGAUCGGUUUGCAGUCAGCUUGUUUUUUAAGCUGGUCAGCCAGUUUUUAAGACGCACAAACAAUCGAAAUACUGUGAAAAACAUUUUAAUAAUUCGUUUUUUGAGAUAUUUUAAAAUGAAAUAAAUUAUAGCUUGUGUGAAUAUAUUCAUUCCCGAGUCAUUCCCAUGUUUUUCUAUUUAAAAAAAACCCUGAAAAAAUGGGAUUUACCCCAAAACACAUACAAACUUUAAACUAUCUUGAAAAGUCAAAGAUAAUCCCGGAAAAACCAGAAUUAAGCAGUUUGCAAACUUCUCUGUAAAGACCUGAAGCAGCUCAACACAAAAGCAGCAACAACCUUUGUUUUUAGAGACAAUUAAGAGGGCGUCAUCAGCGAAAACAUUCAUCCAAACCGAUGUUUGUUUACAUGAUGAUGUGUUUACAUUGUUAUUAAUAUCUGAGAAACAUUAAAACCCACAGCAAACAGCUUUUAUCCCGAGCAACACUGCUCUGUCUUUAAGUGAUGUUGGUGUAAUGUCACCACUGACACAACUGCCCUUUUAAUGUUUUUACUUUCAACAUACAGUACAAGGUUUUUAUUUGUAUUUAUUUAUACGUGGUUCAUACUCUCAUAUAUAUUUUAAUGCGCAGUGUUUUUGACUUGUAAUGUGAAGUUUAUAUUUAUAUAUGGGAAGUAUUUAUUGCAUCUUUUAAAUGGAAAUGACAAAAAAAUCAAUGGAAUGUAAACUGAGCUGAAAACAGGAGACAGAGACAAACUGGUGUUAAAUUACCUACAUGAGCAUCAGCUGGAACAAAUAAAUAACAGAUUGUUUAAA